UACAGAGGGUGCAAGCGUUAAUCGGAUUUACUGGGCGUAAAGGGUGCGUAGGUGGUUGCAUAAGUCGGAUGUGAAAGCCCGGGGCUCAACCUCGGAAUUGCAUUCGAUACUGUGCGACUAGAGUUCGGUAGAGGGCGGCGGAAUUUCCGGUGUAGCGGUGAAAUGCGUAGAUAUCGGAAGGAACAUCAAUGGCGAAGGCAGCCGCCUGGGCCUGAACUGACACUGAGGCACGAAAGCGUGGGUAGCAAACAGG
rnacentral:rRNA from 1 species